rnacentral:rRNA from 1 species
UACGAAGGUCCCAAGCGUUAUCCGGAUUUAUUGGGUUUAAAGGGUGCGUAGGCGGGCUAUUAAGUCAGUGGUGAAAGCCCCAAGCUUAACUUGGGAACUGCCAUUGAUACUGAUGGUCUUGAGUACAUUUGAGGUGGGCGGAAUGUGUCAUGUAGCGGUGAAAUGACUUAGAUAUGACACAGAACACCGAUUGCGAAGGCAGCUCACUAAACUGUAAACUUGAC